rnacentral:lncRNA from 1 species
AUGCACAAAAGUGUCACAAUACUGAGGACCUGGUAUGGUGCUAAGAAAGGGAAUACACAUCUAAUGCUCCAAACGUCUCAUCAAUUCACAAAAGCUUAUGGUUCUUCUUUUAAACUCAGAGCUUCCCUGGACCUCAACCAGCGCCAUUUGGGCAAAAAUUCAAUAAGCUGUGUGAGGGUCAUUAUUGAACAAACAUAUUAUCAGAUUUAGAUGGUUUGAUGUUAUUCUGAAGUUAUUCUGAAGACCAAUGAAAUAUCACGACGGUCAUGAAUAUACAAAAUUGUAUUCUUAUAUGAAUGAUACAGCUUAGUUUCUCAUAUCUGUUUUUCACUUUCCAGUACAUAUUUUUUGCAUUAAUAUUAAAAACCUGCCACACGGACAAACCACGCCACUGUUUCCUUUUCAUCAUAUGCAGUUAUUUGAAGAGAUUGGCAUUAAUCUGCGAAUUCUCCAUCAGGCUCAUUAGAAAAUAGCUGCGAAGAAGGAAUUAUCAAGUAGUUACCUUGGUCUCUG